GGAAGCGUCUUUUGAUGUUGCUGCCCAUGGAAAAAUUCAAAAGGAAGUUAAGAAACCAAAAACCUCAUUUUCCAUUCUUAGUCUCUUUAAUUUAUUUUUCUAUUGCAGAUAUUAAGUCGAUUAGGAAUCAAAGGUGAAAGAGAAAAUGAAAAAGAAGGAAGAAGGAGACAACACGCUAAGAGAUUUUUAAGCUAAUGAGGAGCUGGUCGAUAGCAGGUUUAUAUUUUGAGAAACUCGAACAAUAUCAGAUCUUGCCUAGCUAUAUUAUAAGCUGAACUUUUGGUUGUGGCAUAUGGCUGAGAGGCGUUAUAUGGAAAAACCUUCUCUUUGGUGUUUCAUACAAUCAACAAUAUGCUUUAUUUUGUGUAAUGCUUGUAAUGAUGAGCUUGUA